UACCAGACUCCUACGGGAGGCAGCAGUGAGGAAUAUUGGUCAAUGGACGCAAGUCUGAACCAGCCGAGUAGCGUGCAGGAUGACGGCCCUCCGGGUUGUAAACUGCUUUUAGUUGGGAAUAAAAGGGGGCUCGUGAGCCCCGUAUUGUAUGUACCAUCAGAAAAAGGACCGGCUAAUUCCGUGCCAGCAGCCGCGGUAAUACGGAAGGUCCGGGCGUUAUCCGGAUUUAUUGGGUUUAAAGGGUGCGUAGGCGGAUUUUUAAGUCAGCGGUAAAAUGUCCGGGCUCAACCCGGGCCGGCCGUUGAAACUGGGGAUCUUGAGUGGGCGAGAAGUAUGCGGAAUGCGUGGUGUAGCGGUGAAAUGCAUAGAUAUCACGCAGAACCCCGAUUGCGAAGGCAGCAUACCGGUGCACAACUGACGCUCAGGCACGAAAGCGUGGGUAUCGAACAGGAUUAGAUACCCUAGUA
rnacentral:rRNA from 1 species